UACGGAGGGUGCAAGCGUUAAUCGGAAUUACUGGGCGUAAAGCGCACGUAGGCGGCUAAGUCAGUCGGAUGUGAAAUCCCUGGGCUCAACCUGGGAACUGCAUACGAUACUGCUUGGCUUGAGUAUGGGAGAGGUAAGCGGAAUUCCUGGUGUAGCGGUGAAAUGCGUAGAUAUCAGGAGGAACACCUGCGGUGUAGACGGCUUACUGGACCAUAACUGACGCUGAGGCACGAAAGCGUGGGUAGCAAACAGG
rnacentral:rRNA from 1 species